rnacentral:lncRNA from 1 species
GCAAGAAAAGAAACUAAUUCUACAUGUGUAGUGGGGUUAUCUAAAACACAGAUAGACAUUAAUAAGAAAAACAUAGAAACUGAUUUCUGGGAAACCCUGAAAUGAUGUACACUAGGAGUUUUUGCUUUCGUUAUAUAGAACUGAUGGAAAACAGACAUCUCUUUGACCUUAUUUCUUUUUGAUGUAACUAAACGCAAGUCUUUGAAAUUUCUGGGUCUCACUAUUCCCACACAAGAAAUAAUAUGUUUUCCUCAGAUCCAGAGAUGACCAGGUAAUAUUACUUGAGUUGCUUCUUCCAGCAUCCAGAAAUGAAUUUGCUGGAUAUUUCCCAUCCACGUCCCCUCCCACAUAUUUCAAGUGUGGUUUGGGAAAAACUAGCAGAACAGAAGAAUCUUUCUCCAUGAUAAUUCAGAUAAUAUGGUUCAUUGUUGCUACUGUGUUAGAGAACACUCUACAGAACGCGUGGAUGAACAGAAGCACGAAGAGUCAGAAGCCUACUGCAAAUAAUCCAGGUGAAAGAUGGUGCUGGUUUGGACCAGGUGGUAUUGAAGGAUGUGGGCAGAUUCUGUAACAUACGGUGCAAUGAAGAGGGCAGUCACAGACGUGGCUAGAGGGUGGGACUGUACAGUGGUUAGCAUCACGGACUCUGGACAGACCUGGGUUCAACUGCAUUAUAUCCUCCUUGUUAACUGAACAGCCACAGGCAAAUCACUUAGCUUCUCUAAGCUUCACUUUCUCCUUCUGCAAGUGAGGCUCCUAAGGGUACUUUAUGAAUAUUUACCUCAGAGAGUUACUGUGAUAUUUAGAUGAGACACAGCACCGAUACAAAGUAAGUACGUAUUGUGCUCAAUAAAUAUGAACUAAAAUAACAGAAAAAAAUAAGAGUAACCAGGAGCAUGCUCACUAAGGGUCACCUGAGCAUGUUGGUGAGCACGUACAUACUGCUUUAUCAGAAGCUAUGGAAAUGUUUGGUGAGGAGACAGACAGGAUCAGCUGACCUUUCAGUAUAAUUAAUCAUUUUAGCUUCCCUGUGGAAAGUGAAUUGAAAAGGGACUUAACCAGAGAUGGAGACAGGAGGCUACUGCAGCUGUCCAGGCACAAAAUGAAGAUGGCAGCAGGAAGAAACUGGCAGUAUGAGUGGAGAGGAGUGAGCAGCUCUGCCAGGCUGUCCAGGUGAGGGCGGUACGGGGGCCCAGGUGAAUGCCACUUCUAGUUGGUAGCCGCUUAGAGAACUGUGCCACUCAUGGAGAAAAGGGGCUCUGAGUUAUUUUAAGGAGAGGCUGCUGACGACAUCAAGACUCAGUUUCCCUGCAACAUAGCACACUCAGAUCGGAACAAUCAAGAAAGGAAAAUACCAGGGCCUUCCAGGGGAAGCCAGAAAGGGCCUGGCUGCCUGUCACCACCUGCACCCAAAGCACUGAUAUUUUCUUGAUAUGUGUGUUUAUUACUUUGUUCUCCCUUACUUUGUGUCAAUGUUAAACACGAGGGCGUCAUCAACGAUAAAAACAAGAUAAACACGAGACACUUCUAGAAUCAAUGAUACAGUUAAUAAAAUGAGGGGUGACGGAGGGGAACAUUUUCAAGGAAAACUUGCCCAAAUAAAAAUUGUUUUCUGUUAAAAC